rnacentral:rRNA from 1 species
CCCUUAGAUGUUCUGGGCUGCACGCGCGCUACACUGAUGCGCUCAACGAGUUUACGACCUUGCCCGGAAGGGUUGGGUAAUCUUUUUAAAACGCAUCGUGAUGGGGAUAGAUUAUUGCAAUUAUUAAUCUUUAACGAGGAAUUCCUAGUAAGCGCGAGUCAUCAGCUCGUGCUGAUUACGUCCCUGCCCUUUGUACACACCGCCCGUCGCUCCUACCGAUUGAAUGAUCCGAUGAAUACCAUGGAUUGAGAGUACGAAUAGGUUCGCUUAUUUCUGCUGCUCGAGAAGUGGAGUAAAUCUUAUCAUUUAGAGGAAGGAGAAGUCGUAACA